rnacentral:sRNA from 1 species
CAUCUCAGGAUGGGAUCUUAAACCCUCACGCUGCCUCUUGCACCUGUGCUGCCUGCUGCGACGACAUGACCUUAAGUGGCCCAGUCAGGCUUUUUGUGCCUUACAAAAGGCGCAAGAAGGAGAAUGAACUGCCCACAACUCCCGUGAAGAAGGACUCCCCCAAGAACAUCACAUUGCUUCCAGCCACCGCGGCUACCACCUUCACCGUGACCCCCUCAGGACAGAUCACGACCUCGGGGGCACUGACCUUUGACCGAGCGUCCACGGUAGAGGCCACUGCUGUCAUAUCAGAGAGUCCGGCCCAGGGCGACGUCUUCGCAGGGGCCACAGCAGUCCUGCGUUAACUGCGGCCGGGAGGCUAUGAGCGAGUGCACGGGCUGCCACAAGGUCAACUACUGCUCCACCUUCUGCCAGCGCAAG